GGCGGUGGGAGACCCCCGGUGGGCAGUGGAGGCGGCAGGGGCAUAGGGAUCCGACGGGUUAGCGUCGGUGGGGACCGUAGGCGGCGGCGGAGGCGGCGGCGUGCCGCCGGAGCUAGUCGGGGAGCCGGCGGCAGCGGGGGAGCUCGGCCGGACUUGUAAAAGAAUAUGCAAGAGGAGGAGCAACGUCGGAAUCGGGGGUGGAGGUGGAAGGCGGCGGUGGGGGCGAGGAUCUGGUUGCCGGGGCUGGAGACAACGAGUCGGGGGAAGAAGAAUGGGAGAGGGGGUUUCCAUCAGAGCCGUUCAGAUUCGAUCCGGUGGUUAGAAAAUUCGAAUGUGGAAAGGCCCUCCACCACUGAGAGUAUUACAAAUACGGCCCCUUUGUCCUGUGCAUUCUACUCUUGCUGAUCGUAUAUCCUCGCGUACAAUGCACGAUGUGAUAUCUAUUCGUGUCAGGUAAGGGGGGUCAUCACGCGGGCGCGCGCGCUGCUCCUGCACGCCGCCACCGCGUAGCUCUUGCGGCAGGUGUCCCGGCACGCGGCCAUGAUCUUGCUGCCCGGCCGGAGCUGGCCGCACAGGGAGAGCGCGCACGGCUGCUCGCAGCUUAGAUGGCCCGGGACCGUCGCCGCCCCGUAGCUGCCGGCGCACCUGUGGUAGCAGGAGAACUGGCAGAACCAGAACUCGUCGCGCGGAACGCACUGGUCGAAGCACGCGUGGAAGCAGGGCAGGCGCCCGCCCUGAUCCUCCGCC
rnacentral:lncRNA from 1 species